GUGGACGUGGCUCAAUGGCAGAGCGCGCGGUUGUGGCCCGCGUCGUCGUGGGUUCGAUUCCCACCGUUCACC
rnacentral:tRNA from 2 species